GAGCUGAGGAGUUGGAGACCAGCCUGGACACCACAAUGAAACCCAGUCUCUGCAAAAAAUACAAAAAUUUGCUGAGCGUGCUGGUGCAUGCCUGUAGUCCUGGCUACUCAGGAGGCUGAGGUGGGAGAAUCACUUGACUUGAUGUCGAGGCUGCAGUGAGCUGAGAUCGCACCACUCCUAGAUGAUAAGAGUGAGAGCCUGUCUCAAAACAAAGAAAAGAAAGAAAGAACGAAAGAGAAGAAAAUACAGGUAUUACGGCCUAGACAUUCUUUCAGAUGCCAGAGGAUGCUAUAGAAAAAUGCGUGCCCUCUUGUAAUACUUUGUUCAAGUUCUGAUCAGAAGGAUGAAUGAUGGAGCCCAAGAAGCCAGAGUCUCAUUGUGUUGCUCAGGCUGGAAUCCAGUGGCAUGAUCUCGGCUCAGUGCAACCUCCGCCUCCUGGGUUCAAGCAGUUCUCCUAGAUCAGCAUCAGCGUCCCGAGUAGCUGGGAUUACAGGCACCCGCCACCAUGCCUGGCUAAUGUUGGUCAGGCUGGCUCGAACUCCUGACCUCAAGAGAUCCACCUGCUUUGGCCUCCCAAAGUGCUCGGAUUACAGGCAUGAGCUGCCACACCCAGCCUCCAAAUACUUUUUUUUUAAAUCAAAAUAAUGAUUUCAAUGACUGAGAUCUGUUAUGUAUUUCAACAUAAUCAUGUUUCAUAAAGAUUUAGUCUUCUG
rnacentral:lncRNA from 1 species